rnacentral:tRNA from 1 species
GAGGGUGUAGCUCAGUGGUAGAGUGCAUGCCUAGCAUGCCUGAGGUCCUGGGUUCAAUCCCCAGUCCCUCCA